AAUCCAUUUUUAGGGAUUUGCAUGGUCGAAUCCCUAAUUUAGAAGUGCUUAUUACAUCUGCAGAUUCUCGAACCAGGGUUGUUGAUGGUGUUGAUCUGAUUCACAAGUUCAAAGGAUCAGUAUAUACUGGGGUGGAUUUUUGUAAAAGGCUAUGCGGUGUCUCAGUUAUUAGAAGACUCUAAAAAUCAAAGGCUCUCUCCCUCCUCUCCUUUGCCUAGAAGCAUCUCAUUGCAUGGUCUCCUCAGCACUACACAUCUACAAAGAAACUUGGAUCACCACUUGCAAUAUUAAAAUAAAAUAAAAU